rnacentral:lncRNA from 1 species
CGUGAUCCGCCCGCCUCGGCCUCCCAAAGUGCUGGGAUUAUAGGCGUGAGCCACCGCGCCCGGCUCUUUUGCUUUUACUCAAAGUCCUUCAACACAUUCCUCCUCUGCUUCUUGGAUCCAAACAAGAGCCACCACAGCCAGAGGCUCUCCCUGCUGCAUGGCAAGAGACCCUCAGGAAUUCCCCUUCACAUAGCCCAAGAGGAGGUUUCAUGCGCAUGAGAUGAUUUUCGUUUUUCUCCUGAUGCAGAUUGGAUUAACAGAUGGUGACUUUUGUCAUCCUUAAGCAAAAUAGACUGAAGUCUUCGGUUUUGAAGACGUAGGCUGCAUUUUUGGGGGAACGACGAAGGAAAUCUAUUUGAUUUGUAAAACUCCCCUGCUGAAUGUACUUCUAAGACUGGAAAUAGAUCAAGACUCCAUCUUAUAGGGGACUGGUGAGAUGAACGAUGGCAGAUUCAAUAAUGCAAACAUGUCUGUAUCUUCUUAAAAGGAUGAGGAAGCUCUGUUUACCUAAAUGAAAAGCUUUCUAGGAGGAAGUCCUAAGUGAACAAUGAUGCAUGAGGAUGCAAUCUUACAGGCAAGGAGCCCAGUGAUAACAAAUGGCUGUAGAUGCUUUUCCUCCAUCAAGCUUCCAGGAGGAGAUGAGAUGGAGCCCAUCGCUGAGCCAAGGUCACCAGCCCCAUUUCACAAAUGUAAAUAGCAGGUGUCCCCCACACAGUCUGAACACUUGGAGGCCAAGAUUCAUUUCUCUCAGGGCCCACCAUCCUCAAGCAUGGGAUUGAUUUAGUGCCUCUUGCUGGGAAGCAAAGUUCUGGGAGCCAUAGUGGGAUCCUCCCUCCCUCCCUGCAGGAGACUGGGGCCCUUCCAAGCAGCAACUGAGACCAGUCAACAACCUCUGCCUUAGGCCAGGCGCGGUGGCUCACGCCUGUAAUCCCAACACUUUGGGAGGCUGAGGCGGGCAGAUCAUCUGAGGUCAGGAGUUCAAAACCAUCCUGGCCAACAUGGUGAAACCCCGUCUCUACUAAAAAUACAAAAAUUAGCUGGGCGUGGUGGUGCGUGCCUGUUGUCCUAGCUACUCCGGAGGCCAAGGCAGGAGAAUUCCUUGAACCUGGGAGACAGAGGUUGCAGGUCUGAGAUUGCACCACAGCAUCCAGCCUGGGCGACAGAGUGAGACCCUGUCUCAAAAAGAAACAAAUUAAAAAACAAAAAACAAAAAACAACCUCUGCCUGCCCUUGGGGCCUAGCAUGAGCCCCUGCACACAGGAGGCUUCUAUAAAAAUAGCUCAUUUCGGGUAAUCUAGGGCAGAACCCAGGCUUUUACCACUUGUGGUUUCUCUUUCUAAAUGUGUAGUUAAAAGCUGUAGGCCAGACCUGGUGCAUGGUGGCUCAUGCCUGGAAUCCCAACACUUUGGGAGGCUGAGGUGGGAGAAUCACUUGAGGUCAGGAAUUUGAGAUCAGCUUGGCCAAUAUAGCAAGACCCUGACUCUUUAAAAAAAAAAUUUUUUUUUUAAUUAGCCAGGCAAGGUGGUUGUGCCUAUAGUUCCAGCUACUCAGGAGGCUGAGGCAGGAGGCUCACUUGAGCCCAGGAGUGCGAGGCUGCAGUGAGCUGUGACUGCACUGCUACACUCCAGCCUGGACAAACUGAGCAAGACCCCAUCUUAAAAAAAAAAAAAAAAAAAAAAAAAAAAAAAGACUGGUUGCAGUGGCUCAUGCCUGUAAUCCCAGCACUUUGGGAGGCCGAGGUGGGCGGAUCACCUGAGGUCGGGAGUUCGAGACCAGCCUGACCAACAUGGAGAAACUCCAUCUCUACUAAAAAUACAGAAUUAGCUGGGUGUGGUGGCACAUGCCUGUAAUCCCAGCAACUCAGGAGGCUGAGGCAGGAGAAUCACUUGAACCCAGGAGGCGGAGGUUGCUGUGAGCUGAGAUCGCGCCAUUGCACCCCAGCCUGGGCAACAAGAGCAAAACUCCGUCUCAAAAAAAAAAAAAAGAAGAAGAAGAAGAAACCCAAACACACACACAAACAAAAUAACAGGUGCAGGCCAGUUAAACAAAAACAACUCAAGAACUGUGCCCUGCAGGGGCGCAUUCAUGUGCGGGUGCCCCCUAGAGGACUCUGAGGGUAGAAUGCAUUCAUCCUGAAUGGAUGCAAGAGGAUCAUUUUUCUUCAUCCAAAGUGAAUUCCCUACCGUAUGCUAUGCCCAGGGGACAUGGCCAGUGAACAAGACAUGCAAACAUUAUUGCUGCUGCUCUGUUCACACAUGCAAGAGAGAGACAAUGAGUCAGCAAACACACACAUAAGUUGUUUUUGUAUAGCAAAAUGUACCAGAACAUAAGAUAUAGGGGACUGGUGGCUGGGCGUGGUGGCUCAUGCCUGUCAUCCCAGCACUGUGGGAGGCCGAGGCAGGUGGAUCACCUGAGGUCAGGAGUUGAGACCAGCCUGGGCAACAUGGGGAAACCCCAUCUCUACUAAAAAAUACAAGUCCCAGCUACUCAGGAGGCUGAGGCAGGGGAAUUGCUUGAACCUGGGAGGCGGAGGUUGCAGUGAGCCAAGAUCGCCCCACUGCAAUCCAGCCUGGGUGACAGGUAGAGACUCCAUCUCAAAAUGAUGAUGAUAAGAAGAAGAAGAAGAAGAAGAAGAAGGCUGGGCACGGUGGCUCACGCCUGUAAUCCCAUCACUUUGGGAGGCUGAGGCAGGCAGAUCACGAGGUCAGGAGUUCGAGACCAGUCUGACCAACAUGGUGAAGCCCCAUCUCUACUAAAACUACAAAAAUUAGUCGGGCAUGGUGGUGUACGCCUGUAAUCCCAGCUACUCAGGAGGCUGAGGCAGGAGAAUUGCUUGACCCUGGGAGGCAGAGGUUGCAGUGAGCCGAGAUCGUGCCACUGCACUCCAGCCUGGGUGACAGAGCAAGACUCCAUCUCAGAUAAUAAUAAUAAUAAUAAUGGCUCAAGCUAAUAAAAGAAGGCCUGUCAAUGCACCUAUAUCACCUUCUCUGUUGCAUUAUUAAAAAAAAAAAGAUAUAGGAGGCUGGGGUGAGCUACUUUAGAUGGAGUGGUCAGGGAAAGGCCUUUUGAGGGGAGGACUCUGAGCUGCUGGCUGAAGGAUAAGACAGAACCACCACCCAAAGCAUCUAAGAAAGGCUGCCAGUCCAGACACAGGCGCCCUGAGUGGUACACAAUAGGUGUGCUCAUCCGAGAGCAAUGAGGCUAGUGCCGCUGAAUUCAGAGUGAUUGAGGAACUGCGGUAGGAAAUGAGGCAAAUAAUGUGGUAUUGUCGCAACCAUGGAAAUGCAGGCUGAUGACACAGAACACUACAGAUUUCAGAAACAGAUGCACUUGAUCUGUGCACAAAGUCACAUUGCUUUUUUGCAGUCGAGAACAGACAUUUUUGUGGAGCUGUAUUCGGUCCAGGACCCCGACCUUACACCGUACCCCAAAUACAUUUCUAGAUGGUUCACAUGUCUAAGUGUGAAAGAUAAAACUAUAAAUAUUCAAGAGCAAGGCAUUGGGAAACAUCUCUGGGAUAUCAGGAUUGGCAAGGAUUUCUUUUUUCUUUCCUUUUUUUUUUUUUGAGACAGAUUCUUGCUCUGUUGCCCAGAAUGGAGUGCAGUGGCGCGAUCUUGGCUCACUGCCAGCCUCCGCUUCCUGGGUUCAAGCGAUUCUCCUGCCUCAGCCUCCCGAGUAGCUGGGACUACAGGCGCCCACCAUGCCCACCUAAUUUUUAUAUUUUUAGUAGAGACGGGGUUUCACCAUGUUGGCCAGGCUGAUCUCAAACUCCUGACAUCAA